rnacentral:lncRNA from 10 species
CCUAGUGAUUCCUCUUAUAGAUAUAUGUGAGUCAACAUAUCGCUCUUGUUGCUCAGGCUGGAGUGCAGUGGUGUAAUCUCGGCUCACUGCAACCUCUGCCUCAAAUGAUUCUCUUGCCUCAGGCUCCCAAGUAGCUGGGAAUACGGGCGCCCACCACCACACUCAGCUAAUUGUUUGUAUUUUUAGUAGAGAUGGGGUUUCACAAUGUUGGCCAGGCUGGUCUUGAAGUGUUGACCUCAGGUGAUCCCCCCACCUCACCCUCCCAAAAUGCUGGGAUUAUAGGCAUGAGCCACCGCGCCUGACCUUUUAUUUUUGUAUAUGCAGCCAUUUAACAAAUUCCAUCCAUUCUAGUAGUUUUUACGAGGAUCUCCUGGGUCUAAUAAAUUGAAAAACCACAAACAGUAGAAAGAAUACAAAAUCCAUUAAAAAACAAAAACCAAAACAAGAUAAAGCUCCUAGUCGAUAUGGAUGCUUCUUUCCUGAGGAUGGUAGUUUGAAUAACAAGGUUCCAGACUAGUGAUUCCAAUUUGCGGCAAGGUUGCAAACUAUUCUAGCCCAGCAUUGAGCAAACUAUGGCCCACAAGGCAAAUCCUGCAUUUUUGUAAACAAAGCUAUAUUGGAACAUAGCCACGCUCAUUUGUUUACAUAUUGUCUUGCUGCUUUCACACUUCAGCGGUAGAGAUGAGUAGUUGUGAAAGAGACCAUAUGGCUCACAAAGCCUAAAAUAUUUAGUAUCUAGCCUUUUUUUAAUAGAAAAAGAUAAAAUCACAAUGAGGUGUAAUCUCACCCAGUUAGAAUGGUUAUUAUCAAAAGGACAAAAAAUAAUAAAUGCUAGCAGGAUGAGGAGAAAGGGGAACUCUUACACUGUUGGUGGGAACGUCAAUUAGUUCAGCCAUUAUGGAAAACAGUAAAAUGGUUCCUCAAAAAACUAAAAAUAGAACUAUCAUGAUCCAGCAACGCCACUAUUAGGUAAAUAUCUAAAGGAAAGGAAAUCAGUACAUUAAAGGGAUACAUGCACCCCAUGUUUACUGCAGCACUAUUCACAAUAGCCAAGGUAUGGAAUCAACCUGUGUCCAUCAACAGAUGAAUGGAUAAAGCAAAUGUGGUAUAUAUACACAAUGGAAUACUAUUUAGCUGUAAAAAGAAUGAAAUUCUAUCAUUUGCAGCGACAUGGAUGAAAUUGAAGAACAUUAUGUUAAGUGAAAUGAGCCAGGCACAGAAAGAUAAAUGCUGCAUGUUCUUACUCACAAGCAGAAGCGUAAAAAAGCAUUGAUCUCAUGGAGGUAGAGAGUAGAGCAGUGGUUACUAGAGGUGGGGACGGGUAAGGGGAGAGAGGAACAGCUAAAGAUUGGUUAACGAAUACAAAAGUACAGUAGGAUAGGAGGAAUACAUUCUAGUGUUCUAUAGUACUACGGAGUGACUGUAAUUAACAAUAAUUUAUUAUAUAUUUUCAAAUAGAACAGAUUUUGAAUGUACACAAAGAAAUGAUCAAUGUUUGAGGUAAUUGGUAUGCUGAUCACCCUGAUUUGAUCAUUACACCUUGUAUACAUGUAUAGAGGUAUACUGUAGUCCAUAAAUAGGUAUAAUUAUUUUAUUUAUUUAUUUAUUUAUUUAUUUAUUUUGAGAUGGAUUUUUGCUCUUGUGCCCAGGCUAGAGUGCAAUGGCGCAAUCUCAGUUCAUGGCAACCUCUGCCUCCCGGGUUCAAACGAUUCUCCUGGCUCAGCCGCCCAAGUAGCUGGGACUAUAGGCAUGCGCCACCACACCUGGCUAAUUUUUAGUAGAGACAGAGUAUUUUUAGUAGAGACAGGGUUUCUCCAUGUCUCUACUAAGACAUGCAGAGGCUUGGUCAGGCUGAUCUCGAACUACCAACCUCAUGUGAUCCACCAGCCUUGGCCUCUCAAAGUGCUGGGAUUACAGGCGUGAGCCACCGCACGUGGCCAAUAGGUAGAAUUAUUAUGUGUCGAUUUUAAAAAGAUAAAACAAAGGGGGAUAGUGUCUAUUUGUUAGCUCUUUUGUGCAAGAUUUUGCUACAAUUUACUGUUUCUAGAAGGCUUUGCUUUAUUAAGAAAACUACUCCCUUGGCCGGGCUCGGCGGCUCAUGCCUGUAAUCCUAGCACUUUGGGAGACCGAGGUUGGCAGAUUGCCUGAGGUCAGGGGUUCAAGACCAGCCUGGCUAACAUGGUGAAACCUCAUCUCUACUAAAAAUACAAAAAUUAGCCGGAUGUGGUGGCACAUGCCUAUAGUCCCAGCUAUUUGGGAGGCUGAGGCAGGAGAAUGGCUUGAACCCAGGAGGUGGAGGUUGCAGUGAGCUGAGAUGGAGCCACUGCACUCCAGCCUGGGUGACACAGCAAGACUCCGUCUCAAAAAAAAAAAAAAAAAGCCUACUCCCUUUUACUCCCCACCCUGCUACAGCCCAAAUUUGUUGGUUUUCUAAACUAAUGUGAUAUUUGAAAAGCUGUAAUUCCCAGUAAAUUAAUUCAACAAGUAUUUACUAAGCUUCUACUAUGUGUUAGGCAUUUGAGAUACUUUAUGGAGAAAAGGGACAAAACGCCAUGCCUGGUUGGAGCUUUUAUUCUAGUACCGUCAGAAAGGGUAAAAGACAGCUCAAACACAUUAAUUAUGUAAGACACACACUAAAUUAAAUGGUAAUAAUUUCUAUGGAGAAAAAUAAAGCAGGAAAGUCCUUGUGCGAUGGUGACAUUUGAGCCAUGACCUCAAGGAAAUAACAGUGAGCCAUGAAAAAAUCUGAAGGAAGAACUGCACUCUAGGCAGAAAAAAUUGACAAGCGCAAAGAGGUCUUGGUGGUGCAUGCCUGGUGUGUCUGUCUGGAAAGCAACAGGGAUGCAUGUGGCUGGAGCACAGUAAAUCAGGUAGGAGUAUAGGAGGAGAAGCGGUCUUAGAGAGAACAUGCUACCAGAUUAUUUGGGGCCCACAGGCUAUUGUAAUGACUCUGGCUUUUACAGAAAAAGAUGGGAAACCAGUGGGAGCUUUGAGUAUCCAGGGGUGUGAUCUGUAUUUUGACAGGCUCACUCUGGCUGCUGUUGAGAACAGACUGAAGGAAGCCAAGGACAGAUUCAUGGAGACCUCUUAAGAGUCAACAGCAAAAUUCCAAGCACAGAUCAUGGUGGAUUAGAACAAGAAGUUAGUAGUGGAGGUAGUAAAAAUGGAAGCCCAAAGGUUAUUCUCAUUCCAGCUUCUAAUUAGUGUCAGUUCCUCUCAGAUUCUGGCAUUAGAUAAUUGUCUUGAUUUUGUGCGUUUUUCUUAAUUUUCGGUUUUCAUGAUUGUUAGAUACCAUUCUGAAUUAGAUAUUGUCCUGAAUAUUCAACUGUACCUAAUUAUGAUCCUGUACUUAAUAUGCUUAAAACAUGGCAGAUGCUUGGUAAAUUCUUACAAUGAAUGUGUAUCUUAAAGGGUUUGGGUAGAAUGAAGUAGAUUUAUCUUCACAAGCCUAUUUUCAGGACCACAUUUCUAUUGUUAUUGCUUUUCUCUCUAUGAUUAGCAUAUAUACCCAUACUUUAGCUACUUGUGUUCUUUAGGCUUAUUUAGGAGAUGGAUGGUGGAUUUGUAUAGUUUAAUUUUAACCUUAAUACUCAGUCUUUCUUUUUAAGGGUUUCACUUCAGAAUAUGUGUGUUUGUGUAUGCAUGUGUAUAUACAUAUGUAAUAAAAAUCAGAUAUAUUCAAAAGUAAAAUCAUUUCUCAGAAAUUCAUAAUUGCAAAGGUAAG